UCGAGGGGUAUUAGUUUUCGGACUAGAGACCGGCGCACGGGUGCGUAACGCGUAUGCAAUCUACCUUUUACAGAGGGAUAGCCCAGAGAAAUUUGGAUUAAUACCUCAUAGUAUAAUGACUCGGCAUCGAGAUAUUAUUAAAGUCACAACGGUAAAAGAUGAGCAUGCGUCCCAUUAGCUAGUUGGUAAGGUAACGGCUUACCAAGGCUACGAUGGGUAGGGGUCCUGAGAGGGAGAUCCCCCACACUGGUACUGAGACACGGACCAGACUCCUACGGGAGGCAGCAGUGAGGAAUAUUGGACAAUGGGCGCAAGCCUGAUCCAGCCAUGCCGCGUGCAGGAUGACGGUCCUAUGGAUUGUAAACUGCUUUUAUACGAGAAGAAACACUGCUUCGUGAAGCAGCUUGACGGUAUCGUAAGAAUAAGGAUCGGCUAACUCCGUGCCAGCAGCCGCGGUAAUACGGAGGAUCCAAGCGUUAUCCGGAAUCAUUGGGUUUAAAGGGUCCGUAGGCGGUUUAAUAAGUCAGUGGUGAAAGCCCAUCGCUCAACGGUGGAACGGCCAUUGAUACUGUUAAACUUGAAUUAUUAGGAAGUAACUAGAAUAUGUAGUGUAGCGGUGAAAUGCUUAGAGAUUACAUGGAAUACCAAUUGCGAAGGCAGGUUACUACUAAUGGAUUGACGCUGAUGGACGAAAGCGUGGGUAGCGAACAGGAUUAGAUACCCUGGUAGUCCACGCCGUANACGAUGGAUACUAGCUGUUG
rnacentral:rRNA from 1 species